GAAUUUUGGACAAUGGGCGAAAGCCUGAUCCAGCAAUGCCGCGUGCAGGAUGAAGGCCUUCGGGUUGUAAACUGCUUUUGUACGGAACGAAAAGCUUUUGGUUAAUACCCUGGAGUCAUGACGGUACCGUAAGAAUAAGCCCCGGCUAACUCCGUGCCGUCAGCCGCGGUAAUACGUAGGGUGCAAGCGUGAAACGGAAUUACUGGGCGUAAAGCGUGCGCGUGCGGUUUUGAAAGACAGAGGUGGAAUCCCCGGGCUCAACCGGGGAACUGCCUUUGUGACUGCAAGGCUAGAGGACGGCAGAGGGGGGUGGAAUUCCGCGUGUAGAAGGGAAAUGCGUAGAUAUGCGGAGGAACACCGAUGGCGAAGGCAACCCCCUGGGCCUGUACUGACGCUCAUGCACGAAAGCGUGGGGAGCAAACAG
rnacentral:rRNA from 1 species